rnacentral:rRNA from 2 species
GGACUACCAGGGUAUCUAAUCCUGUUUGCUCCCCACGCUUUCGUGCCUGAGCGUCAGUGUUAGCCCAGGGGGCUGCCUUCGCCAUCGGUGUUCCUCCACAUCUCUACGCAUUUCACUGCUACACGUGGAAUUCCACCCCCCUCUGCCACACUCUAGCCUGCCAGUCCUCAAUGCCAUUCCCAGGUUAAGCCCGGGGCUUUCACAUCAAGCUUAGCAAACCGCCUGCGCACGCUUUACGCCCAGUAAUUCCGAUUAACGCUCGCACCCUACGUAUUACCGCGGCUGCUGGCAC